rnacentral:rRNA from 1 species
UACGAAGGGGGGCUAGCGUUGCUCGGAAUCACUGGGCGUAAAGCGCACGUAGGCGGCUUUUUAAGUCAGGGGUGAAAUCCUGGAGCUCAACUCCAGAACUGCCUUUGAUACUGAGAAGCUUGAGUCCGGGAGAGGUGAGUGGAACUGCGAGUGUAGAGGUGAAAUUCGUAGAUAUUCGCAAGAACACCAGUGGCGAAGGCGGCUCACUGGCCCGGUACUGACGCUGAGGUGCGAAAGCGUGGGGAGCAAACAGGG